rnacentral:tRNA from 1 species
UCCCUGGUGGCUCAGAUGGUAAAGCCUCUGCCUACAAGCCAGGAGACCCAGGUUCAAUCCCUGGGUUGGGAA